CGCAGUCAGGUCAAAUUCAGCCCCCGUUGCUGUCAUAGCGGGCGCUGGCCUAGAUGGCUGCUACAGCAGGCCGUGCAGCCCAUGGGCCCCAGGCUCCCCACGCUGGGACCUGGGGAUAAGUCUGGCUGCAGACAGGG
ensembl:snoRNA small nucleolar RNA, H/ACA box 5C